rnacentral:rRNA from 1 species
GAUGAACGCUGGCGGCGUGCUUAACACAUGCAAGUCGAACGAAACACCUUAUUUGAUUUUCUUCGGAACUGAAGCUUUGGUGAUUGAGUGGCGGACGGGUGAGUAACGCGUGGUUAACCUGCCCUGUACAGGGGGAUAACAGUCAGAAAUGACUGCUAAUACCGCAUAAGACCACAGCACCGCAUGGUGCAGGGGUAAAAACUCCGGUGGUACAGGAUGGACCCGCGUCUGAUUAGCUGGUUGGUGAGGUAACGGCUCACCAAGGCGACGAUCAGUAGCCGGCUUGAGAGAGUGAACGGCCACAUUGGGAAUAAGGCACGGCCCAAACUCCUACGGGAGGCAGCAGUGGGGAAUAUUACACGAUGGGGGAAACCCUGAUGCAGCGACGCCGCGUGAGUGAAGAAGUAUGUCGGUAUGUAAAGCUCUAUCAGCAGGGAAGAAAAUGACGGUACUGGACUAAGAAGCCCCGGCUAACUACGUG